UCCAGACUCCUACGGGAGGCAGCAGUGGGGAAUAUUGGGCAAUGGAGGCAACUCUUACCCAGCAAUGCCGCGUGAAUGAAGAAGGUCUUCGGAUUGUAAAGUUCUUUAAUUGGGGACGAAAAAAAUGACGGUACCCAAGGAAUAAGCUCCGGCUAACUACGUGCCAGCAGCCGCGGUAAUACGUAGGGAGCGAGCGUUGUCCGGAAUUACUGGGUGUAAAGGGAGCGUAGGCGGGGAUGCAAGUUGGGUGUCAAAACUACCGGCUCAACUGGUAGUCGCACUCAAAACUGCAGCUCUUGAGUGAAGUAGAGGCAGGCGGAAUUCCUAGUGUAGCGGUGAAAUGCGUAGAUAUUAGGAGGAACACCAGUGGCGAAGGCGGCCUGCUGGGCUUUUACUGACGCUGAGGCUCGAAAGUGUGGGGAGUAAACAGGAUUAGAUACCCUGGUA
rnacentral:rRNA from 1 species